UGGGUCGGCUGGACGGUCGCGUCACGGGUUCGCCCGUGCCGAGGAACGUCCGGGCUCCACAGGGCAGGACGGUGGGUAACACCCACCCGGAGCAAUCCGCGAGACAGUGCCACAGAGAGCAGACCGCCCGCCUCGUGCGGGUAAGGGUGAAAGGGUGGUGUAAGAGACCACCGGGGUCGUGGUGACACGACCCGCACGGUAAACCUCGUCCGGAGCAAGGCCAGACAGGGGAUGUCGACGCGGCUCGC
rnacentral:RNase_P_RNA from 1 species